CGUAGGGUGCGAGCGUUAAUCGGAAUUACUGGGCGUAAAGCGUGCGCAGGCGGUUUUGUAAGACAGAUGUGAAAUCCCCGGGCUCAACCUGGGACCUGCCUUUGUGACUGCAUAGCUAGAGUACGGCAGAGGGGGAUGGAAUUCCGCGUGUAGCAGUGAAAUGCGUAGAUAUGCGGAGGAACACCGAUGGCGAAGGCAAUCCCCUGGGCCUGUACUGACGCUCAUGCACGAAAGCGUGGGGAGCAAACAGGAUUAGAUACCCUGGUAGUCCACGCCCUAAACGAUGUCAACUGGUUGUUGGGUCUUCACUGACUCAGUAACGAAGCUAACGCGUGAAGUUGACCGCCUGGGGAGUACGGCCGCAAGGUUG
rnacentral:rRNA from 1 species